CUCACAGUUCAGAGAUCUUUAUGCAUUUUUUUCCAAAUUUAUGUAAGACAAGAAUGCUAAAUGGGACUGAUUUAAGGUGGGCCCUAAAUUCAAUCAUAUGUGUUCUCAUCAGAAGCAUGUAAAAGAAGAGGAGACAAUGUGGCCCUAGAAGCAUAGAUUGGAGUUAUAUGGCCUUAGUCAGGCAUGCAGUGGCCAUCUGGACCUGGAAGAGCAAGAAAUGGAGACUCCCCUCAGGUCUCCUGAGGAAGCACACCCUUGAUGACCCUUUCAGCAUUGUCCUUGUCACAAGUAAGGGCACCAAUGGACACAGCUAUUUGGCUUUCACUGUUAAAUAGCCAUGUUCAACAGAACAGUCUGGUAUCUUGAUGAGGUUCAAGAUGGACACGCAUUUGUUGAAGUUUCAUGGU